CCUUCUUGCUGUCUCGAUCCGCAUAAGAUCACAAGCAAACUCAACUCUAAUAUGUCGAGUUUUUGUUUUUUCUUUACUUUUUUUUCCUGGUAAUUUAAUUUCAUUGGAUCCUCAUAAAUUAUAAUAUUCUGCAAAAAGUGACCAUAAAUCUUUAAUGCUAUUAUGCUUACUUUGUGAGAGAACUUUAUUUCACUGUUUCAAAAAUCAAAGUCUUAGGAUUUUUCAACUAUGAUGAGACCACUAGGAGCUUAUUUAGGACAAGACAUGUUUCAGUGCUAAUUCGAUCUAGAAUCAGAUCUAUCCUUAGUUUUAGAGAAACGACACUAUCAUUUUGAUAAAUGUAUGAUUAUCCUACAAAGAUGGGAACUAUUGUCUCAUAAUCAUCUAUAAUUCCAUUAUGAAGAAAUGUACAAAGAAUACCAGUACAUCUUUAGACUGAAGAUUCAAUAAAAUGCAUUGGUGAUUAUAUAGAAUCUUUGAGACGUCGAUCAUUACACCCUUACAGAAAGGAUGAGAGGCCAUGUUAACGUAGAUUUUCCUUGAUCAGGUCGACGAUUAUUGAAUACCCAAAUGACGAUAACGUAAUUGCAAGGCUAGUUUAUAAGAGAUUAGAGAAUCAUUUCUCCAAAUGUUUUUGGUUAGAUCAUGAUCAAAACAAUUGCGCGCAAUCUCUGAAGAUAAUUCAAGCAGUGACUACUGGCACUCAUAUAAGUGAAGCGACCUAACAUUGCAUGGAUGAGAAACUACAUGUGUAGCAUCCCUGAUCCUUGCUAAGGAUCGUUUGGACGGGCCAUGGGACGAGAGAACGUGAAAGCCGGUCGUAAGACUGAAGGGCAAGUGUUCCAUGGUCUGACCAAAGGGUUAAGUCCGAAUAAUGAUCUGGACUUAGCCAGGAAAAGGAAGAAAAAAUGAAGAAAAUGAGCUGGACCGAGCAAAGGAAGAGUGGAACAAGCUGGGAGAGCUGGAGAACUAGUCAAGAUGUAAGCUGGACGAGCUCACUUAAGAUAGAUCAGCUCGAUCAGCUAGUAGUCUGAGCUCAACCAGCUGGACCAACUCUCGGGAGCUCAACUCAGCUGGGUGGAGUGUUCGGCGGUUGGGCCGGUUGGACGGGUUCGGGGUGGUUACGAGUAGUUGGUUGGAUCAGGUGCGGAGUUGGACUGGUCCGACUAAGCCUUGCGCGUGUGGGAAACGUGCCAAGCAGUUGGAGUCAGUUUUUGGCCGAAAGGGCACUUAUGGAUAACCGCCCCAGCGGUUGCAAAAUACACUCUUUCGCCCCAUAACCGUUCCUGGCAAAAUUUCUAUAAAUAUGGGGACUUGGGGUCGAUUUUGGACACCGAAUUUCUCUAAGGAAAGAACCAAAACUCGAUCAGAACCAAAGGCAUCCGAAAGAGAGAGACUUGGGCAAUUUGAAGAGAAGACUUGAUCGGAAUCAAGUCCAAAAGGCAAUCCGACCACGAUUACUGGAAGAACAAUCCAAACAUGGUGGAUCUAAGGGAAAAAUACAAGCAUGCUGCGACUGGAACUCUGGAGCGCACGUCUAAGGUAUGGACUGGAUAAGCCAUUGCCAUGGCCUUCGGGUGGAUCCGAACGGGGCUAUGGCUGAUCGUCCUAAAUUGGUUUCAUCCCUUUAAUCUUUACUUGAUCGUUUCUUCAUCCUAUUGUAUGAACGAUCAAGUGUCUUGGUCUUAGGACCGGAUAAUUGAUCAUGCCUUAGAGCCGGUCUGAUCAUGUGAUCCAGUGUUGGAUUUGAUAGAUCAAAGAUCAUAUCCAGAUGGCUUGAUCGGGUUAUGGCCGAUCCGAGUGGUUCAGUUGUAAGACGGCUUGAUUAAGACCGCAGACUGAACUUGAACAUUCCGGCCAAAUGACUGAAUAAGUCGAGUUUGAUUAAGGGGAUCAUAUGUGUUAGACUUAGAAAGAAACCAGACAUAUGAUGCAUGUAUAGAAACCACUCGCUAAGUUACCAAUGAAAUACUUAUGUUUUGUUGGUUUCAGGGUAAGAUGGUGAUCAUGGGAAGGAUCUGGCUUAGCCGUGAAUACUCGAAGCCAAGUACGGAUGGGUGGUUUGAUAGACUGGUUUAAGACCGUUAUACAUUGUACUAGCAUAUAUGCAAACUCUCGUUGUAAACGAAUCCUUUAUCACAUAAAUAAAGAAAUCAGUUUAUCCUAUUGCAUAUUGACUCUAAUACAUCUGCAUAUAGACUCUAAAAUGAAUCACAUAAUUGACCGAACUGGAUGUGUUUAAAACUAAGGACUUAAAACUGACUGGUCGGCCUGCUUAAAUCCUGGUCAAACCUAGAAACCUCACUGGAUCAAGUGUCCGGGUUAGGGCGCUUUAACAUGAGCCACCAUGUUUGACCCUUUCUGCUUCACAACAUAAAAACAUAGAGAUAACUUCUCUAAAUCUUAGAGGAAUCACACACAACAAAACAUAUGACAUGAAACGUGUUUGGAGAAAACAAAUCCUAUGGAGAAAGACACAAUCCAUCGACUAAUCAGAGUGGAGAUGAACAAAGAAAAUAUGAUACAAAAAUUACCAAGACCACUCUCACUACUCCACUUCAUCUAGAACUCCAACAGAGUUCAAUUUUUGCUCCUCAUACCACCAAGAAUAGAAUAUAGGUUCUCAACCCUUAAAACAUAUUUCUCAAUUUUCACUUCAAAGAUCUUCAGUUCGACAACCUCGCUCCUACUACAGAGCAAUUCCAAAAUUAAAAAUGAGAUGGAAAAACCAAAGAAUCAACCUCUUCCAAGGCUAUAUAGAGUAUUUUUCAAAAGAAUUCCCCUUCAAAACCUUGAAACUUAUAUACCUCGGGAGACUCUAGAAAAAGAAAAGGGUGAGUGAAUUACACGAGCUGCGUAUACUGUUAUGAUUUAAUACACCAGAUGUGUAAACUACUCGGAGAGCACUGCAUGUAAAUAAUGAUUCUACAUGGUUGAGGAACAAGGAAAAUUGGAGGAAAGUGCUGUCCAUAUUGUUUGCGCAACUCUGUCCAAUCUCCCACCUCUACCACCACUUGUUGUGGAAGUGCAUGUUCAUGAUUGAGUUCCAACAACCCCCAGACUAGGUCCCUCAUCUUUGGCUAUUGAUCAUCCAGUAAUUGGGACAACCUCACUAGAAUCUAAACACAAACCAGGAUGCCACCAGGUAAAACAAAUGUUCAAGCAAGCCUAGGUUCUCGCGGGAUCCAACUCCUAAAAGAAGAAAUUCCAACAAACUAAUGAUCCCCUUGUAGGAAAUAACUUAUCACACCGUGAAAACAAAGGAUCCCGCCCAGAAACAAAACCCCACAUGACUUGGUAUUACAUGCAAAUAUGAAUCAAACAUCUGAAAACCGACCAAUUAAUGAUCUAUUUUUAGGGAGUAGGCUGAAGAAGGCAGUUUCUUGAACCCCUUAUGAUGCAGAUCCUUAGUGAAAACGAGCUGUAACUGUCUUGACUUGGGAAUCCUCUGACCUGUUCAUCUUUUACGAGAGAUGAAUUAACAAAGCUCCACAGAUAUACUUUUCUCAAUGGAAAUGAAAUCCUCCAUUGCUGUCGUCUUUGCAGAAACUCAAAUCCUUGGAAUAUGAUGCUCAUCAUCAUCUCGUACUUCUAGUCACCCAUGGUGCCGGAGGUCUGGCUCUACUAUGGAGAAAAGAUUUAUCACUUGAUGUUCUCUUCAAGUGCAAACUGUAUUGAUACUCUAAUAGGAUUUGAAAGAAAUUACUUUUAUGCUUCAUAUAUGUACGAAAUACUGACAAAGCUAAAAGAAAGCCUUAAUGGAAUCAUCUUAUAGCAUUGACAAGUGCUCGAGAGACACCUUGGUUUAUGAUAUUGUAUGUUACUUUAACGAUAUACUACAUAUCUGAAGAAAAAAACCUAGGAGACCCUUCUUGACCAGAGGUCUCCUUCAGUGACUUCCAGUUAUUGUUAUAAGAGGAAGACUUAUUCGAUUUGCAGCACUCAUAAGAUAUGCAUGUUGUAAGAGACAAAUGGUAAGUUAUUUUGUUUGAUGCUGACUCGACAAUGCUUUAGCUAACACUCUUUGGGAUGAGAUCUUCCCAACUGCAAGACGCCAUUAUCUUGCGUAUGAGGAUUCAGAACAUAAACUAAUGGCUCAUAUUUUUAACCAAACCUAAAGAAAGUAAAACGAUUAUUUCGCUAUGAUAGAUAACUGAAGAAUAAUUAGGAAGUAAAAUUACUAUUCAAGAAACUUGGAAGAAUGCAGUAACUAAGACUGUGUGCUAUAAAUAUAAUCAAUCAGAUUUGCGUUAACAGAGUGACAUAAAAACCAAGGUCAUAAUAACAUACUUGUCAUUGAACUUAAUUAGUGGGAGUUAGAAGAGUCACUGUCCGAGGAACUGAAUGGUAAUUUAUAACAACGAAGAUCUCAUAGGCGUAUAAUGAUGAAGAAGCUUACGGAAAGCAGAUGAGCCGUCUCCUAUAGUUGAG